GAUGAAGAACGCAGCGAAAUGCGAUAAGUAAUGUGAAUUGCAGAAUUCAGUGAAUCAUCGAAUCUUUGAACGCACCUUGCGCCCUUUGGCCAUUCCGAAGGGCAUGCCUGUUUGAGUAUCAUGAACACCUCAACUCUCAUGGCUUGCCAUGAUGAGCUUGGACUUUGGGGGUCUUGCUGGCCUGCGGUCAGCUCCUCUCAAAUGAAUUAGCUUUCCAGUGUUUGGUUGGCAUCACAGGUGUGAUAACUAUCUACGCUUGUGGUUUCCACCAGGUAACCUUCAGUAACAUGGGGGUUUGCUGGAGCUCAUAAAUGUCUCUCCUCAGUGGGGACAGCUCUUUGAACAUUUGAUCUCAAAUCAGGUAGGACUACCCGCUGAACUUAAGCAUAUCAUAAGCGGAGGA
rnacentral:misc_RNA from 1 species